AAAGGGCCAGCAUGAAUUAGCAAAACU
rnacentral:piRNA from 1 species